rnacentral:misc_RNA from 1 species
GAUGAAGAACGUAGUGAAAUGCGAUAAGUAAUGUGAAUUGCAGAAUUCAGUGAAUCAUCGAAUCUUUGAACGCACCUUGCACCCUUUGGCAUUCCGAAGGGUAUGCUCGUUUGAGUGUCAUUGUACUCUCACACUCUCCGAUCCUAUGGAUUCGGGGAGCGGUGGACUUGGGUGUUGCUGCCUUUCCUUGUGGCUCACCUCAAAUGUGUCAGUGCACCUCUUGGUUGGACAUAGUACGGCGUGAUAAGUGUCUUCGCCGGCACCUCGCAAGAGGGUGGCCGAUCGGGAGCUCUGUGCUUUCAAACCGUCUUCGGACAAUUUUUGACAACUUGACCUCAAAUCGAGUAGGACUACCCGCUGAACUUAAGCAUAUCAAUAAGCGGAGGA